CUGGCCGUAAACGAUGAAUGCUAGGUGUGGGUGUAGAGAUACAUUCGUGCCGGAGUUAACGCGAUAAGCAUUCCGCCUGGGGAGUACGGUCGCAAGAUUGAAACUCAAAGGAAUUGACGG
rnacentral:rRNA from 1 species